GGUCACUGGCAGCUGCUCUCAGGUGUCCUUGCUCAAGGGAACACACAGCACACAGCCUGUGGAGGGUGGAGGAACCAACUGCAAGUUUCCGGACUGAAUUUAAACUCAUUCCCAGACCACUUGUCCCUGUCAAGUGAUGUACACUGAAGAAAGAGCCUCCUUCAGGCUGUGAGGUCUUCCUGUCAUCCUGACCAAUCAUUUCCCACCAUGAGACUGCUGUACCUUCUCUUUCUCUUUCUUGGAUAUCUGAUACAAACAGCCUCAGGAUAUGAGAGAAAGGAUAUAUUCCUUGAAUGUGAACACAUGGGUGGUGUCUGCAGGCACCAAAAAACCCACGGAUGCUCUAUCCUGCCUGCACUGUGCAAAAGCCGGUACAAACACUGCUGUAGGCUGUAGCUGCAACAGCCACAGGGGCCUCAGGGUAGCCCAGAAGAACUACAGCCCCUGACUUCUGCUGAAUAAAGCCAUCACCACCCAUGGGACCCUGUUGCUGAGAGCAUGCUUAACUUACAGACCGUUGGACCAGAGGCGGGAGAACUUA